GACGAACGCUGGCGGCGUGCCUAAUACAUGCAAGUCGAACGCUGAAGGAGGAGCUUGCUUCUCUGGAUGAGUUGCGAACGGGUGAGUAACGCGUAGGUAACCUGCCUGGUAGCGGGGGAUAACUAUUGGAAACGAUAGCUAAUACCGCAUAAGAGUAGAUGUUGUAUGAAAUUUUGUUAAAAGGUGUAAUUGGAUGAAUAGAAGAGGGAGUUGCGUUGUAUUAGCUAGUUGGGGAGGUCAUUGCUCAACAAGGCGACGACACAUAGCCGACCUGCGAGGGUGAUCGGCCACACUGGGACUGAGACACGGCCCAGACUCCUACGGGAGGCAGCAGGAGGUAAUCUUCCUCAAUUUACCUAAUUCUCACCAACCAACCCCCCUGGAAUGAAUAAGGGUUUCGGAUCGUAAAGCUCUGUUGUAAGAGAAGAACAAUUGUUAUCAUUCAAACUUCCCACUGUAACUUUCUCUUACCAGAAACAGACGGCUAACUACAUG
rnacentral:rRNA from 1 species